UCGGAAUUCAUUUCACUUUGGCUUCUGUAAAUGGGAGGAGUAUCCAAAAGGGAUUAAAAUUAACAAGCGAAUUGAAGGCUCUUAAAAACUUUUUCGAUUUUCCGCUGAAAUCUCCAGCUCAGCCCUCGAGAGCUAAUAAAAAAGUUGAAAUGAAACGAGGAGUAUAAACGAAGGCAAUGGUCAUAAAAAUUAUUAUCCACAAUUCCCAGAAAUGCAAUUUUUUUCAAGGAAAGAACGGGAAGACAAGAAAAAUUAAAGGCCAUCCAUUCAGGCGAAUCUGUCAUCGUGACAGAUAAAUAUUAUCAUGGCAUGGUCAGGCCAAACAGAUAUAGCCAUCUAUCAGCCGACGCUUUGGGGUGCAGAGGUCAUGUCUGUGGAUCAAUAUUUAUUGCAAAUUAUGCCCCAACCACACACUUUUCGUGUGGCCCACGGGGCUUAUGUGCAACACUCUGGGUAGCCGCAAGUGCUGUGCAUUAAUUAUGCGAUUUUGAGUGUUCCUGAAUGUGUGUGCGUCUGUGGGUGUUUGAUUUGCGGUCGAACCAGUCGAACUCCUGUCGCUCAGAUGUACUCGGCUAAUGUAAUUAAGUUCCCUGAUUAAAAUGCCUGGAAUCACCUACCAGAGAAAAGCACAUUGCAAGAGGGCACAAUAAGCUAUUGGAUCCCAAACAAAAAACACCGGCACUUCCACAUCCUAGAGCCAGUGCAUUUUUCUGCUGACGGCCAAUCCCACGCACGUCCUGUCUAUAAAGUGCAGGGCUUACUAAGCCAACUUCAGGGUAUUUAUAAUUGAAAGUCCAACAGCGAUAAAGGACUAAGAUAAAGAGAAAUCGCUUUCUAAAUAAAAUGAUUGUAGCACAACGGCUUCAAAAAAGACACAAGUGGAGCUGUUGAAAAGAUGUUGCAAGUAGUGGGAAAAUCAGCUGAGUUCCUUGCCACACCUUUGCUGGAUCGUCCUGCCAAAUAAUGAUGUCACGAAAUAUACUCCCUUUUGGGUGGUGUGUUAACUUAUACUUGACAUUUUCCGCGUGCCCGACCAUCAGAUGCCAUUUCACGACCGACAGAUGUCUGCCAACAGGGAAUCGCUGAGGGCGAGCUUAAGUGUGAAACUGUGCACAUGGUCAUUUGGCAUGGGGAUGUCAGCAUUAUGGAAGAUAUGCGAAACAACUGGAGCAUGAAUAUUGCACAGCUGGAAUUGGAGGAAAUAUUUUUAAAAGCUUAAUUGAAUUAUUAUUGAAAGCGAUCUGCAAAAUAGUUAUUAAGUUGUUCGUCA